UCGCAGCUUGCGCCGGCAGUCCCGCCAGAGUCCCCAGCUUGACCUGCUGGUAACUGGCGGUGGGGGUUGCGCUCGUUAUGGCACUUAAGCCGACACCUCACGGCACGAGCUGACGACAACCAUGCAGCACCUCGGCACAGGCCCCGAAGGGCCACCUCCUUUCAGAAGUGUUCCUGUGCCGUUUGAGCCCGGGUAAGGUUCCUCGCGUAUCAUCGAAUUAAACCACAUGUUCCUCCGCUUGUGCGGGCCCCCGUCAAUUCCUUUGAGUUUCACCGUUGCCGGCGUACUCCCCAGGUGGGAUACUUAACGCUUUCGCUGUACCACCCAGGCCCCAUUCGGCCCGGACAGUCAGUAUCCAUCGUUUACUGCGUGGACUAC
rnacentral:misc_RNA from 1 species